GAUGAAGAACGUAGCGAAAUGCGAUAAGUAAUGCGAAUUGCAGAAUUUCCGUGAGUCAUCGAAUCUUUGAACGCACAUUGCGCCCCUUGGUAUUCCAUGGGGCAUGCCUGUUCGAGCGUCAUUUGUACCUUCAAGCUUUGCUUGGUGUUGGGUGUUUGUCUCGCCUCUGCGUGUAGACUCGCCUUAAAACAAUUGGCAGCCGGCGUAUUGAUUUCGGAGCGCAGUACAUCUCGCGCUUUGCACUCAUAACGACGACGUCCAAAAGUACAUUUUUACACUCUUGACCUCGGAUCAGGUAGGGAUACCCGCUGAACUUAAGCAUAUCAAUAAGCGGAGGA
rnacentral:misc_RNA from 1 species